CAGUAGCCGCGGGAAUACGUAGGGGGCGAGCGUUGUCCGAAGUUACUGGGCGUAAAGAGCGCGUAGGCUGGUCUUUAAGUGAGUGGUGAAAGGUUCGGGCUCAACCCGGACACUGCCUUUCAUACUGGGGACCUUGAGUGUGGGAGAGGCGAGUGGAAUGGUCGGUGUAGCGGUGAAAUGCGUAGAUAUCGAUCGGAACACCCAUGGCGAAGGCAGCUCGCUGGCCUAACACUGACGCUGAGGCGCAAAAGCGUGGGGAGCAAACAGGAUUAGAUACCCCUGUAGUUCCUGUCUCUUAUAC
rnacentral:rRNA from 1 species